GACGAACGCUGGCGGCGUGCUUAACACAUGCAAGUCGAACGGAAAGGCCCUGCUUUUGUGGGGUGCUCGAGUGGCGAACGGGUGAGUAACACGUGAGUAACCUGCCCUUGACUUUGGGAUAACUUCAGGAAACUGGGGCUAAUACCGGAUAGGAGCUCCUGCUGCAUGGUGGGGGUUGGAAAGUUUCGGCGGUUGGGGAUGGACUCGCGGCUUAUCAGCUUGUUGGUGGGGUAGUGGCUUACCAAGGCUUUGACGGGUAGCCGGCCUGAGAGGGUGACCGGCCACAUUGGGACUGAGAUACGGCCCAGACUCCUACGGGAGGCAGCAGUGGGGAAUAUUGCACUAUGGGCGGAAGCCUGAUGCAGCAGCGCCGCGUGCGGGAUGACGGCCUUCGGUUUGUAAACCGCUUUCGCCUGUGACGAAGCGUGAGUGACGGUAAUGGGUAAAGAAGCACCGGCUAACUACGUG
rnacentral:rRNA from 1 species